rnacentral:sRNA from 1 species
UUCGUGUCAGCUCGUUUCCGCUCGGCUCUGAUAAGCUGUGGUCCUGGCUCAGUCGUCCUUCUGGUGGUCCUGCUCCUGCUCAGUGCCAAACUGUCAAUCGUGUAGUGCGGUCAUGUGGUGCGGAGCCAGCGUGCGCUCGCCUCCCAUCAUCAUCGCCCUCUGAGUGGUCUUUCAGUCCUCUUCAGUCGAGCCACAGCCACAGCCAAAAUUCCACAACCAAAACCGAAACCAACUCGAAUCCGAAUCCGAAUCUGCAUUUGAUUCUGAAUUUAAAUCUGAAUCCGCAACGAACUUUUUGGCCAGCGGAAUCGAAGGAUUCCAGCGCCAACACCGCCCUCCAAAAAUAUUUUUUGUUCUUGUUCCACCAAAAUCCAUUGCAACAUUUAGCCAGCAGCUAAAACAAAGUAAAUAAGCGCAAGAAAAAUAUAAUAAGCAAAGUGCUCAAGUGCCAAAAAAAAAAAAUAAAAUAAGAGGAAAAUACAAAAGAAUAAACCGGAACCCUUCCAGCUAAGCUGAAGAAAAUAAAUAAUAAUUUAAAUGUGCCUGCGCCAAAAUAAAAAGAAAAAUGCAAAGAGGGAUAAAUAUGCUACGUGCAGUUGUUAAUUUUUUUGAGAUUUUUUGUUCUUGUGCGGUUUGAACACGAGUGCGAACAGAACAACCACAACAACAACACAUACAUAUAUAAAUAUAUAUAUAAUAUAUAUAAAAUAUCCAACAAUAAUAACAACAGCAUCGACAACAACUACAACUACAACAACCACAACAAAAGGAUGAAGGACUGCUGCAAAUGCAACAACAACGGAGACUUCGAGCGGAUACGACAGCGGCAGCUAGAGAUACUUGUAACUAAAGUGACAUGAGGCCUUAACAA